UAGGGAAUCUUCCACAAUGGACGCAAGUCUGAUGGAGCAACGCCGCGUGAGUGAAGAAGGUUUUCGGAUCGUAAAGCUCUGUUGUUGGUGAAGAAGGAUAGAGGCAGUAACUGGUCUUUAUUUGACGGUAAUCAACCAGAAAGUCACGGCUAACUACGUGCCAGCAGCCGCGGUAAUACGUAGGUGGCAAGCGUUGUCCGGAUUUAUUGGGCGUAAAGCAAGCGCAGGCGGAAUGAUAAGUCUGAUGUGAAAGCCCACGGCUCAACCGUGGAACUGCAUCGGAAACUGUCAUUCUUGAGUGCAGAAGAGGAGAGUGGAAUUCCAUGUGUAGCGGUGGAAUGCGUAGAUAUAUGGAAGAACACCAGUGGCGAAGGCGGCUCUCUGGUCUGCAACUGACGCUGAGGCUCGAAAGCAUGGGUAGCGAACAGG
rnacentral:rRNA from 1 species